rnacentral:rRNA from 1 species
UACGUAGGGUGCGAGCGUUGUCCGGAAUUAUUGGGCGUAAAGAGCUCGUAGGCGGUCUGUCGCGUCGGGAGUGAAAACUCAGGGCUUAACCCUGAGCCUGCUUCCGAUACGGGCAGACUAGAGGUAUGCAGGGGAGAACGGAAUUCCUGGUGUAGCGGUGAAAUGCGCAGAUAUCAGGAGGAACACCGGUGGCGAAGGCGGUUCUCUGGGCAUUACCUGACGCUGAGGAGCGAAAGUGUGGGGAGCGAACAGG